GUCCACGCUGUAAACGAUGGGCACUAGGUGUUCGGGUAUUGACCCCUGAGUGCCGCAGCUAACGCAUUAAGUGCCCCGCCUGGGGACUACGGCCGCAAGGUUAAAACUCAAAGGAAUUGACGGGGCCCGCACAAGCGGUGGAGCAUGUGGUUCAAUUCGACGCAACGCGAAGAACCUUACCUGGGCUAGACAACAUCGGACAGCUCUAGAAAUAGUGUCUUCUCACAAGGGACCGGUGGUUCAGGUGCUGCAUGGCUGUCGU
rnacentral:rRNA from 1 species